AAAUAAGAAGCAAAAAUUGCUUUUAGUUUCGACCUAAAAAUCUGGUGAUUACACCCUUAUUUU
rnacentral:tRNA from 1 species